GUUUGUUGUUGAGAACUCGGGCUGAGAAAAGUGUUCACUUUUUUAAGUAUUGAACUGCACAUCUACUCUUAUUACUGUCAUUAUACUUUGAACAAUGGAUGAAGAGAUUCCUAUUACCAAUUUUGUUUUGGAUGAAAAUUUUAAACUUGGGAUGCGUUUGAUACGAAACUGAAACAAUAUCAAGAAACAAAAUUUCUUACAGCUAUAGGAACAAACUCUGAAAAAAAUGAUACAUCAAAAGCAAGGUUUGCUAACUGCUAAGUUGGAUACUGAAAUUUGAGGUAAACCUAAAAUCCGUAAUGGACGGCAGUGCGAUCAUAUUGAAAGACGACAUGAAACUAUACCACAUGCUUUCAACCAAAAUAUUGGAUGAGGAAGUAUUUCUCACCAGAAGCAUGGCAAACAUUAAAGGUUGCCUUAUCUUCUAAAAGGAAUAUUGCAGAAUAGAAUUGCACGGUAUGCAAUACAGACGUUCGUAAUGCGGCAUCACUGGUGUGUGAUGGCUGCUUGGAGUGGAUUCAUAAAAAAUGCGUCGGACUUAAACAUGCUCCAAAACC
rnacentral:lncRNA from 1 species